rnacentral:rRNA from 1 species
CACGUAGGAGACAAGCGUUAUCCGGAUUUACUGGGUGUAAAGCGCGUGCAGGCGGUCCGAUAAGUUGGAUGUGAAAGCUCCUGGCUUAACUGGGAGAGGUCGUUCAAUACUGUUGGACUAGAGGAUGUCAGAGGGGAGUGGAAUUCCGAGUGUAGCGGUAAAAUGCAUAGAUAUUCGGAAGAACACCAGUGGCGAAGGCGGCUCUCUGGGGCAUAUCUGACGCUCAGACGCGAAAGCUAGGGUAG